rnacentral:rRNA from 1 species
AUUGAACGCUAGCGGGAUGCUUUACACAUGCAAGUCGAGCGAGCGGCGGACGGGGGAGUAAUGUAUGGGGACUGCCCGAUAGAGGGGGAUAACUACUGGAAACGGUAGCUAAUACCGCAUACUAUCGGAUAACCCAUAUGGGAUUAGCUAGUAGGUGAGGUAAUGGCUCACCUAGGAGACGAUCCCUAGCUGGUCUGAUAGGAUGAUCAGAAACACUGGUGCGGAGACAAGGCCCAGACUACUAGGGAGGCAGAAGUGGGGAAUAGUGCCCAAUGGGAGCAAGCCUGAAGCAGCCAUGCCGCGGGGAGGAAGAAGGCCCUAGGGUUGUAAAGUACUUUCAGUCGGGAGGCGUUACCGACAGAAGAAGGACCGGCUAACUACGUGCCAGCAGCCGCGGUAAUUC